GCCUAAAGCGUCCGUAGCCGGCUCUGUUAGUUUUCGGUUAAAUCCACAUGCUCAACAUAUGGGCCGCCGGGAAUACUACAAAGCUAGGGAGUGGGAGAGGUAGACGGUACUCCGUAGGAAGGGGUAAAAUCCUUUGAUCUAUGGAUGACCACCAGUGGCGAAGGCGGUCUACCAGAACACGUUCGACGGUGAGGGAUGAAAGCUGGGGGAGCAAACCGGAUUAGAUACCCGGGUAGUCCCAGCUGUAAACUAUGCAAACUCAGUGAUGCAUUGGCUUGUGGCCAGUGCAGUGCCGCAGAGAAGUCGUUAAGUUUGCCGCCUGGGAAGUACGUACGCAAGUAUGAAACUUAAAGGAAUUGGCGGGGGAGCACCACAAGGGGUGAAGCCUGCGGUUCAAUUGGAGUCAACGCCAGAAAUCUUACCCGGAGAGACAGCAGAAUGAAGGUCAAGUUGAAGCCUUUACCAGACAAGCUGAGAAGUGGUGCAUGGCCGUCGCCAGCUCGUGCCGUGAGGUGUCCUGUUAAGUCAGGUAACGAGCGAGAUCCUUGCCUCUAGUUGCUACCAUUACUCUCAGGAGUAGUGGGGCGAAUUAGCGGGACUGCCGUAGUUAAUACGGAGGAAGGAGAGGGCCACGGCAGGUCAGUAUGCCCCGAA
rnacentral:rRNA from 1 species